UGUGCCUUUUUGUUCUUUGAUGAUUCAAAUCUUAUUUUUCUGCCCACCAUUUUUCCCACUGUGACAGUCAAAGAAAAAGAUUACCUCCACUACAUCAGUAUUUAAGUUAAGAUCCUCUAAAUCUGCUUCACCACUGUACCUGCAUGGGGACAUGAAAGGCCCAGGCUCCUCCACAGUCACUAAGCUGCUCAGGCUGCCUGUCAGGCUGCUGCCCCGGCUCACUAAAGCGUCCCGCUCCUCCAUCAGCCAACGCAUGGCCUCGAUCCCUUCAUGCACAGCCACCAGCUGCCUCAGGAUCCUCACAUCAGCAGAACGCAGCCACUUCUGCAGAAGAAGAGCAGAGUUAAUGCAGCUGUGAAUAUGGGAAUUGAUAUGAGUGAGCACUCCAGGUGGAUUUUCACUUUCACCCUGUCACAGAACUAAUUUCUCCCAAACUAAGGUCCUUAUUUGUGUUUACAUUUGCAAACACAUCCCAGAGAAGAAAGAAGAGCAUUAUAAAUGAAAGGAAUGAGGGAGGGUGAGAGAGGAGUGGGUUGAAAGAGGAUGAGCAGAGGAAUUCAGACAGAAUGUGUGAAAUGAAUUGAGGUGAGAGAGAGGGAGGCCAGGUAAGGGGUGUAGUGGAGACACAGGUGACAGUGGCUGUCAUUAGACAUUAAAAUAAGCAGGUUAAGUCGUUCGGAACGGAACUUGGUGCUUUGACAUUUGUGCAGCUCACUGAAAGCCUGUCAUAAGAAUAAACAUAGCAGUGAUUGAUGAAACAAGUCGUGCAAGUUUGUGGCCAAAUAUGGAAAGUUGCACAGAAAUUUAAGCGCACAUUCAAGAGCACCAAAAACAGUUCAAAGUAGCAGAAAGGGACAUGUAGAAACAUCCAAACCGUGCCAAGAACACUAAGAAUUCAUGUCUGGGGAUACGUACCAUUUCUUGUUUCAAGUUGUUGAUCUUUUCAGAAAAAUUAUCACUGAGGAUAAUUCUGCUCUCACUUCUAUCCACCUCAUCAGACCUCCAGCCAUCUUCACGAUCCGCAGCAUCCCUCAUCCACAUCAAAAGACUUUCUGGUGUUUUCCUGCCAACCUUAUUUUCCAGCUCUUUAAGAUCUGGGAGGGAAUCGUUGAGUAUUUCCUCCGCCAUCCCACCGCGCAGAGAUUACUGCCCAGCGCACAGAUCUGUGGCUCUGGAUGGAAAAGAGCUCGUGCGUAAAGCCACUUUAGAAGUUGGACUCCAGUUGGAAAACCACACAGCUGUAAAUCUCCCUCUCUUGUCGACUUACAGUGGAGCACAAGCGUUAUAUUCCUGAACACGCCACAAUAAAACAUGAUCAUGAGUGGAAAACCUGCCGCAGAAGCGCAGCGUGAGCCAUGAAACCGCUGGAAGUGUGAGCGAGCAUAUCACCUGUCAGAGGUAUUCACUGCUGGUAUGUAGCCCAGAGCGGGAUGCUGGAAAGUGGAGGUGCUAUUUGUUUAGCCCUCAAACAAUAGAUGGAUGUUUCAUAACACAGGUCACAUGAAGAGGCUUCACCUUUAAGCAGAGUUAUUGAGAAUGCGCAGUAUUUUCUGAAUCCGUGGAACCAUGUGAUGACUUUGUCUUUAUUACUUUGACUUUGGUUGAGUCCCAUCAAAACAGUGUCCGGGGGUUGAACUUAAUACACUUAGAUUUCACUUCAUUAAAAACAAACAAAAAAAUCAUCCAGAUAAUAAAGUAAUAAA